GGCUACUUAAGACAGAUGCUUGCCUCUUGGAGGUGGGAUGCAUGGUGCAGGGUUCACUGUACCAGUUUGUGUCUAAAAUUAGUCAUUUUUUUUGUUUUUUUGUAAAAGCUUUGGUUUGGUAUGUGUUGAGAGGGUUAAGGUAGGGUAGGAUUGUGCAAAUAAGGCAUUGCAUUUUCAUCUUUUUCAAAAUAAAUGUAAGGGUUUAUUUUACUCUUAACAGUUGACUAUAUUUUUAUCUAUGACCCUUCCACAACCUGAAUCAAUCUAUUAUACUAGAACAAGCAAUAAACCUGUGUGUAUGUGUGUGUCUAUAUGGGAUACACAAACAUAAACUCCCACAUGAAAAUGCCUCUAAAACACAAGGCUUACUUUUAAAAUUAGAAAACUGGCUCCUCUGCCUUCCCUCUCCAAUGCUGAUACCUUUAACCAGCCACCUCUCCUGUCGAAUUGGUUCAAAAACAUUACUUUUUUUUCCCCUUCCCCUGCUUUUCUGGAAUCUCUUUGAAGUCAUUAUGCACUCACGCAUUCUUGUCCCUUAUACAGUGAAACAGGAAACUCUCUGGGCUAAUUUCAGAAAGUGGAGUGCAUAUUUGUAUUCAGUAAAAUAUCUCUUUGUUAGCAACAUGUAAAACUCACGGAGUGCCCUAACCCAUGAAGCCAUAUUCAUGUGCAUGGCUCUUGCUCGUACCUGUAGUUCUGAUCACUUUAAAUAAUAAUUAGUAAAGAUAUUUGCAGAAACUACUAUAUAGUCUUUCUUUACCAUAAAUCCUUGUUAAAAUGUUCCUUGACUAUUUUUUAUUAGACUAGAAGUCAAAACCAUUUUAAUUUACCGAAAGACAACAAAAGCCAAACAGCAUCCCAAUCAAAACAGUGCUGCUGAUUAUUUUGUACUAUCGUAAAACAGUUCUAGAUCUUGCACUAUAUUGUGCAAGCUGAAGACGUAAGUGAUGAAUGAGGAAGUGGUCAGUUAAUUUUAAGCAACAUCUCUCAACUUUCUCGUGCUUGUUUUUUAUUUUUAAAUAAAUAUUAAACUGUUCAGAUAUUUUAACAAAUGUUAAAACCCAAAUUACCACCUCCUUCUCCCCUCCUCCCCAAAAAAUGGUUUAACUGAACUUCUGUUCUUCACUUAACUAGUUAUACCCAACUAUGAUUAUGGUUUCCAAAUAGUGGGUGAUUUUUAUGUAUUAAGGCCCUACUUUUGUGUGUGUUUGCACAACUCUGUCCAAGCACACAUGUACGUAGUUACUUUUCCAGUGCUAAUUCCUUUGUGUGCAAUUAACCACUUUGCAGCGUGCAAAACCAUCACCUGUGUCUUCAGGCGGUAGAAUCUUAUCUAUUAAUUGCCCUAGCAAGUGUUAGUGCUAGAAAAGUGUGUGUGGAGAGUUGCACAUAUAUGCAAGUGAAAGCCAGUGUGAUGGUGCACUGAAAACGUGGGCCCAAAUGUGCUGCAGUAAGUACCAUAAAGUGGGUUGAAGCAGAGAUUAGUGGCCUAUUUUUCAGAAGUGCUGAGCACCUGCAGCUCUUGGUGAAGAAGAGGCUAUCUAGCGCCCCUGAAAAUCACAUCAUAUAUGUCUGAACUUGGAAUUUCCUUGCUUUUGUAAGGUUGUUAAAUAGUAAGUGUCUUAAAUGUAGUCUAAAAGUUGUUGAGGCAAUCUGAGAGCAGUUAUACUGUGUAGAGUGGAUGGCUUAGCAACCAAGCAUCAAGUCUGAAACAGUAGGCUAUCGCUGCAUUUUAAAUCCCAGAAAGGUCAACGCAGACUUUCUCUGAGUUAGAGUGACUCAGUUUUAGUACAUGGGGAUCUUUAGAGAGACACCUUAAAAGCAGAUUUCUGCUCUGUGUGCUUCCUAAUGAUACAAUAAUGCUCCUUCUCAUAGGAACAGGAUUUGUUCUUGCCCAACAUAUCCCACUGCUUCAUUAUUGAGCAGCAUGCUCUGUGUCAGUUGUCCAAGUGGCUAUCAUCGCUAUCCCAGACACGGUUGCAUUUCUGUGACAAAGUGUUAUAUCUGACAUACUCUAGGAUGAAGGACACUAUAGAAGCAGUUAUUUAUAUGAUAAGUUUUAUAGCUACCCUGGUAAACAUUCAUUUUGACUGUAUUCAGUCUUACAACUCUUUUAUACCGUACCAGUUUUUUUACAAUAGUAAAUUAGAAACUAGUACAGUAGUGCAGUGUCUGUGCAGGCAUUUGCAGCUACUCUCAUGCGGCUUUGGACAGUAGAUUAAUAGAAGGACAGAAAGUAUCAUUGUGAUCAUCUAGUCUGACUUCCUGCAUAACACAGUCCAUAGGACUUCCGGCAGCUAAUGACUGCUUCAAGUGCAAUAGUUGUGGUUGAACUAGAGUAUAUCUUUUAGAAAAAUAUUGAGUCUUGUUUUUAACAUUUCUGGGGUGGAGAAUCCAUCAUACUCUUUGAUAAAUUGUUUCAGUGAUUAAUUACACUCAUUUUUAAAAAAUAAUUAUGCCUUAUUUCUAGUCUGAAUUGGGGGGGGGGGGGGGCCGCGCGGGUCCUGGCUUCAACUUCUAUCCAUUGGAUCUUGUUAUACCUUUUGUCUGCUAGAUUUAAUAGCCUGGUGUUAUCAAACUUCUGUUUGUAGGUACUUCUAGACUGUGAUCACAUUACCCCUUAAUCUUCUUUUGAUAACCUAAAUGGAUUGAGCUCCUUAAGUCUCACUAUAAGGCAUGUUUACCAAUCCUUUAAUCGGUCUCAUGGCUUUUCUCUGAAUCUUCUCCAAUUUUUCAACCUCCUUCUUGAAAUAUAUGCACAUGAAUUGCUCACAGUAUUCCAAGUAAGUCACAGCAGUGCUAAAUGCAGAGGUACUAUGACUUCUCUACUCUUACUUAAUAUACCCAUGCUUAUAAAUCCCGGGAUCAUAUUUGCUCCUUUUCGCCACAGCAUCAUACUGCAAGCUCAUGUUUAGAUGAUUAUCCACAAUGCCAGAGUUACUGCUUCUCAGAGUCUCCCAUUCUGGAGGCAUGGCCUGUAUUUUUUGUUCCCAGAUGUAUGUCUUUACAUUUGCCCAUAAUAAAACACUUGGCUAUAUUAAAAAUAUUGUUUGCUUGAGCCCAGUUUACCAAGCAAUCCAGAUCACUGUAUCACUGACCGGUCCUCUGCAUUAUUUACCCACUACCCCAGUCUUUGUCAUCUGCAUACUUCAUCAGUAACCAUUUUAUAUUUUCUUCCAGGUCAUUGAUAAGUAUUGCAGGAUCCCAUAAUGAACAUUCCCACUCAUUGAGUAUUUCAUGUUAACAAUUUACAUUUUGAGACCUAUCAGUUAGUUUUGAAUCCAUGUUGACUUUAUAUCAUUCUUAUUUCUUAAUCAGAGUGUUGUACAGAGUCAAGUCAAAUGCCUUACAGAAGUCUAUUACAUCAACACUGUUACCUUUAUCAACCAAACUUGUAAUCUCAUCAAAACAUGAUAUAAUUUAUACUAGAAUCUAAAAUAGUUAGAAUGGGAAGGUUGACCAAGGAAGAUGGUUGUUUUGUUUUUUUUUUUUUUUUUUUUUUUUUUUUUUUUUGGUGCCAUACAAUUUUUAACCUCUGCCAGAGUGGGGCUGUAAUUUCUCAGCCAAAGUAUGCCAUCUCUAGAUAGGGCAGCCUUUUACCUCUACCCUGCCCUGUAAUAUAGUCACUGGGGAUAUACAUAUGAUCUAGCACAGGGUUUCUCAACCCAUGGGUUGGGACCCAAAAAGGGGUCACCAGAAUGUUUCAAAGGAUUGCCUGGCAACUUCUGUGGUUCCUGUCCCACAGGGCUGGCUGGGAUCGCCUCCCUGCUCCAGGCACUGCAACCUCUGGGGUCCCAGCACCACUCAGGUCUGGCCCAGCCAUCAUGAUGACGAGAGUCUGGGUAGGCCAAAUUUGAGUGAGUGGCACUGCAACUCCAUGAGUCAGGUCACAACUCCACUCUCACAAAUUUGGUCCAGUCAGGGGGCCGGGGCCAAACCUGAGUGGCGGUGAAACACCUGGAGUGGAGAGCCAAGCCCAGCCAGCCCCACAACACAGGAACUGCCACUGUGGGGUGAGUGCUAGGCAGGACUCAACCCCCCUCAGGGGUAGGAUCUGACUGAAACCACCCCAGGGCCUCCACCCCCAGUCUAUUUGCUGGGUUGCAACAAGCCAUAAACAUUUGCAAAGGGGUCCCUGAGCCCAACAAGGUUGAGAACCACUGAUCUAGCAUGAGACUUGAAACCUUUAACCUACUGUAUUGUUUUCACCAUCUUGAUACAAGAAGAUGUGUCCAUAACUAAUCACAUAUGGUGGAAAGAACACAUCUGUCAUCAGAAAAAAUCCGUAUGUCAUUUGAUGCACAUAUGAUUUUUGUAACCUCAGUAUGUUGGCUAUUCAUUAUACUUUUUGUAAUACUAAGCAUGAGCAGCACAUCAAGACAGUUUUUGAAUGCUUUCAAAAAUAUAAUAAUUUUUGAGCUAUAAAAGAAUAACAAAGCAAAUUCAAUUCCAGUAGUAUACCAGCUUGUUGCAUCUCAUUUCAUUCACAAUUGAAAUAGAGCUAUGGCUGAAGUCAAAUGAUUCAUUUUGUGUUUACAGCUGGUAAUUGUAUAAAGUACUUUGAAACUUUAAAAAGUUGUUAUAAAUUAACCAAGCUCGAAAUUGAUCAGUACUUUGAAGUUAUUACAUUAUUUCAAAAUGUUGGCUUAAUGCUUCUUGUCCUAAAACUGUCAAGAAAUUACUUCAGUAGUUAUGAAUUUUGGCAUUCAAUGAGGUUGUGUUAUUGAUAGGAAAUGAAAGAAUACACUAUGAGUGGUAAACUACAAACAUAUAUGGAUCAAAAUACUUGUGUAUUGAGACUUCAAUCACUCAAAUGGUCUAGAGACACUAUUGUACUUGAGCUGGUUUAGGAAGUGUGAAUGCAGUGUCUGUGAUCACUAUAACUGGCUGAUGGAAAAUGCUGUUAGAGUUAUUUAAAAAAAAAAGUUGUGAACUAUUCUUUUUUUUUUCUCUUGUGAUGACAUUCAAAUGUGUUCAGAUUAUAAGUGAAACAGUUUUUUUUUUCUAACUACUACAUUGCAAGCUCCACUUGUGAUAUGAAAUCAAGCUGAGUUCUUUCUCCCCCUUAUGUUGUUGCUAUUCCUGAUGGUAUCCUAGUUUUGAUUUUUUUUUUUUUUUUUUUGGACAGGGCCGUUCAAGUGCUCCAGCUGGUUUAUUAAACCAGGGUGUUUCAGUAGAACUGGCUUGGAUAUGUGGUCUGCCUAAUAUUGGCUGGUCCACUAUAGCCCUACUCUACUGCAUAGCACAGCAGCUUACAGUUGCUAAGCAGCUGCAGAUUCUUCUUUACCUUAGCUACCAAUCAGCUGUUCAGUGGAAGAAACAUCAGUUCCCUUUGAUCCAUUAAGAAGCGUAAGCAACAUGAAAACAUGAGCAGUGGGCAUGGCAAAAUUGUUCCUUUUCUGGCUGGCUAGUAGGGCCCCUGGCAAAAAUGCUUAAGGAUGAGAGAUGAAGGUAAACUUUAUGGAGCAGAAGAAGGAGGUGCUGAGGAAAGAGAGACACUGAUGGCGGGGUGAGGGAGAACUAGCAUAUGUGCACAAUGUAGAUUACAAAGAGAGCAGAUCUUACACAGAGCAAGGGAACACAGUCGGGAAAAGAAAUAUGAGAGAGGCCAAGAGCGCAACUCAGAAGGGAAAGAAACAGGAGAGAGAACAGGUUUCAGAGUUGCAGCCAUGUUAGUCUGUAUCCGCAAAAAGAAUAGGAGUAAAAUUUAUUAGUCUCUAAGGUGCCACAAGUACUCCUGUUCUUUUUGAGGAGAGAGAACAGUAUACAUAGGAGCAAGAAAUAAGGCAGGAACUUAAAAGGCCUGCAAAUGAUGGGAUAGAAUAAAUAAAUUGGUUAGUCUCUAAGGUGCCACAAGUACUCCUUUUCUUUUUGCGAAUACAGACUAACACGGCUGUUACUCUGAAACUUGUGUAGACACUUAUCCCAGUGAAAAGUGGGUGAAAAAUGCUAUCACAUUAGAAUGGUACCUUGCAUUUAUGCAUAUUUCUUAAUCCUACGUGCAUUUUUAACCCAUGCCUUUUACAUUUUUUAAAAUGUAUUAUAGCCUUUGCCUCUUAUUUAGAAUUGACCUUCCCAUGUUCUGUUUUUUAAAUUAAAUAACCCUAAUCCCAUUUCUAUCAUUAUUCUAAUAUAUUUUCUUAAAAUUAGUGUUAACCCUUUAAUUUAUUGCAUUUUUGACCCAAGCCUAUUUCCAAAUAUUUUUAUUUAUUUUAAUCCUUGAAGACUACUUUCAGAUUGCAAAACAGCUCUAAUCCCCAAACUCAAGUAAGCUCUCUCCACGCCUCCAGAGAGCUGUGACCUGCUCAUUUUCUCCACUCCCUCCUGAGAGGAGUCGGUGAUGAUGAGCCACUUUACUUCCCAACACCUUCCCUGCUGGUGAAGUCUUUCCUUUUCUCUGAGUGCAACUCCUUUCUCAACUGAUUAAUAAUAUGCUGAGGUAAGACUAGGGGCUACUGGGGUUGGAGCAGGUUCCUGGGACAGGGAAAGUAUUACAUAAGAACGGCCAUACUGGGUCAGACCAAAGGUCCAUCUGGCCCAGUGUCCUGUCUUCUGACAGUGGCCAAUGCCAGGUGCCCCAGAAGGAAUGAACAGAACAGGUGAUCAUCAAGUGAUCCAUCCCCUGUCGCCCAUUCCCAGCUUCUGGCAAACAGAGGUUAGGGAUACCAUCCCUGCCCAGCCUGGCUAAUAGCCAUUGAUGAACCUAUCCUCCAUGAACUUACCUAGUUCUUUUUUGGAACCCAGUUAUAGUCUUGGCCUUCACAACAUCCUCUGGCAAGGAGUUCCACACGUUGACUGUACGUUGUGGAGGGACGGGACUUCUUUUUGUUUGUUUUUAAAACUGCUGCCUAUUAAUUUCAUUUGGUGACCCCUAGUUAUUGUGUUAUGAGAAGGAGUAAAUAACACUUCCUUAUUUAUUUUUCUCCACACAAGUCAUGAUUUUAUAGACCUCUAUCAUAUCCCCCCUUAGUGAUCUCUUUUCUAAGGUGAAAAGUCCCAGUCUCAUUAAUCUCUCCUCAUAUAGAAGCCAUUCCAUACCCCUAAUUUUUGUUGCCCUUUUCUGAACCUUUUCCAAUUCCAGUAUAUAUUCUUUGAGAUGGGGCAAACACAUCUGCACACAGUAUUGCCUGUGCUUCUCCCAUUCCAGGUCUCUUUCUCCUGAGAGGACUCUGUAAACCAGCCUCCUGAGGGAGAUGCUCUCAAGGACCAGACUAACAUGGCUGCUACUCUGAAACCUGAACGAGGCUUGGAACUGUGAGCAAGGAAACUCUCUUCUGUUUGAUUCCUACUGUGCUGAAGGAAACAAGACUUUGACCAUUCUUUGUAAAUAAAUAGGAUUGCAUUAAAAAAAAAAAAGCCUGUCUCCAUCAUCAGUUUCUUUUUCUACCUGAAACAACCUGCAGGACCCUGGAAAUUAGCUAACCACUUGGGACAAACAGAGGUAACAGUAACUUGUACUGAUAGUGUCUUGCACUUACAUAGUUACUUUUGUGGGUGGAGCUCGAACUGCUCUACAAACAUUACGAUUCACAGUAUCCCAUUGACUUAUUUUUAUAUGCAUUUUACAGGUAGCACAAAAGUUAAAUGACUUAACCAAAUUCACGCAUGCCUCGUUUAUACAAAUCUGCGCUUUUACUGGUAUAGCUUUACUAUACCAGUACAAAGCACAGGUUUGCCAUUAUAGCUGCAUCCACACUAGGAAUGCUUUGCUGGAAUAGUAUCCUGAUAUUCCAGUAUCAGUAAGUGUUUGGUGUAGACACAGCCUAGGAGGUUUUUGCUAAUUUAGUUAUGCUGGUUGGUAUAACUAUCUUGGCAAAAUUUUCCUAGUGUAGACAAGGCCAUAGAGUGGUGGUGAUGCCAACAAAAAAAUUAACAAUACUCCUGUGCAGAGACCACAGCCUACCAUGCUGACGAAUACUAACUAUCUCAUUGUUUACUCCUAUUCCCCCUUCUGUCUAUAUAUGCAUCUAUUGUCUCUUAUGUUAUAUUUAGAUUGUAAGCUGUUUGGGACAGGGACUGUCUCUUUGUUCUGUGUUUUUACAGCACCUUGCACAAUGGGAUCCUGGUCCAUGACGAGGUCGCCUGGGUGCUGUGGUCAUACAAAUAAUAACAGUAGAGCGGGGAAAUGAAUUCAGUAUCCAAACUUCUGCUCCCUCACUCUAAACACUAGCUCACAUUUCCUGUAUGGCAUCUGGUAAAGAUGUUAAAUAUAAUACACUAUUAUCUUUCCUAAACAGGCUUCCUCCCUAAAAUGAAGGUGAAAAUAUAGUCUACCUUGAUGAGAGAACAUUCCAUGUGGUAAUACAGAAACUAGUUUGCUUUGCCACUCAUUGGCAGAAAGCAUAUCAACUUGUCAUUUCUCUUGAAGUACAGGAUUUGAGGGAAACAUUAAGGAACUUUUAAGUUCUUAAGUGUUGCUUAAUUACUGAGUCAUCAGUGUAGCACAAUAUUAAUAUAUUCCAUGAUUAGAUUUUUUUUUUAAGACAAUGCAAAAAUCUGUAAAGCGAAAAUUGUAGUCCUGAGGCAGGGGCUUCAGGAUUAAAUUAGCAAUUCAAAUUAAAACAAGUUGAGCUAUUUACUGGAUCAGAUUAUUUUUUUUUAAUUGUAAGAUUAUAUGAGUCAAACUAUAUGUUUUUAGAAUCUUGUUACACAGAAGAAGAAAAUUCUGCCUCAGGACUGGUUGAAAAGAGUCUUGUGACAGCUUACUAAAUUUCUGUUUACUUUUUUAGCACCAGAUUUCAAUGGGGUUCUGCACUGAGACAGGACUAUGCCUGAGUGCAUCACAUCACAGGGUAUUGACGUGUAUGGAAAUUAUAUGUUUCUGUGUGUGAUAGUAUCACACGCCAUGCUCUAAAAUAUAUUUUAAUCACAUUAUUAAAAAGUUGUGCCUGAAUAUUAAAAAAAAUCACUAUUUGGCAUCUAAUUUCUGGGAUAGAAUGCUUCCAGUUUUCCUCUGCCUUGGCUUGAUACCUGCAACAUUUAUAAGAUGAAUUUCAAGUGCUGCAGGGUGUGGGAUCUGCAGGUUGCUCAUGUUAAUUUCAACCUAAAUUCUCCGUCUUGGGCCUUCAGAGUAAAGUGGAUACAAAUACAUAUUUUUUUAUUUAAAUUUGUUUUUAUUUAAAUGUAUUUUUAUUUUUAAAUAUAAACCUGCUUAAACUUAAAUUUGAAAUUGACAACCUAUGUUAAGGUCUAAAUUUACUGUAAUCUAUUAAAAUAAAAUUUUAAAAAUAAUCUGCAUCAAUGAUCCCUCUUUGAAUUUUAGGAUGUUACUUUUUAAAUUAUAUAUAGAAUUAGGGGGAAACAUCUUGAACUUUUGAGAUCAACUCAAGCUUUAUAAAUGUCACAAUAUCAUGUAUCGCAUUAAGUAUCUAUCUGUGUAUUACUUUCAGUCUUUAUGAUGGAGAGAAUGCUGCUAUUUACAUUUUUCCAAAUGUAAGUUAUUUCAGUUUCUUUUGCCCAGAAAAUAUUUUGCUGUAAUUACUUUUCUUUUCAGUUUAACUAGCAGGUGGAGAGAGAGAGUUAAGCACUAAACUUCUGAAAAUCUCACUAGGCACUUAUCUGGAUCUUUAGGUACAUAUCCAUGGUGACAGUAAACAAUCCAUCAGUUCACUAUUUACUGUUCAUUCUUCCAUUGUUUUGCAUUUAAAAUUGAUUUAUUAAACGUUUUGAUAAACUUACUUUUUUUCUUGAUAUAAUCCAACACAUUUAAGGUAGUUUUGUUUAAUAAAAACAUUUUUAAAAUGCCGUUUUUGUAUGUUUUAAUCAAAUUUCUAUUUCUGUCCAAAUGCAGCUUGAUACAAAUAGAAAGUAAAAAAUUAUCUAAUAAGAAAUGAAUCAUUUACCAUUCUCUAAUAUAAAGUAAAAAUUAAGAAUCUGAAGAAGUGUAUAUUAUGCUACAUAAUUACUUACGUACAUAUGUAUAGAUAUAGUGCUGUCCUUGUUAGAAAAAAAAACAAAACAAACAACCCACCAGAUUUGGUGCAUAGGCUAUCAAAUGUGUUUUAAUUAUUAUACUAACCAAUGAAAGGGGUUUUUUAUUUAGAAAAAUAAAAAGUAGAGAUGCAAAAUAAGAUUAAAUUCAGUUAUUUAAAUCAAAGUUUCCUGAUUACUGAUCUGAUUUUUAAAUCACUUAUUAACAUCAAUCCUCCCCUUUAAAAGUGUAUUUACCCUCUGAAUUUAGGCAAGCCCUGCUAGCUCAGUGUUUGAAAGCACAAGGUCUUUCAUACAACAGCAAAAUGCAGUGUCUGACAAAUCAGACCUGCAAACUUUGAAUUAAAAAAAAAAAAGAGGAAGAAAACUGCAAUCACUUCUGUAGCUUUUUAUUUUUUGAAACUUAAUACUAAUAACUAGUAGGUUUUUUUUGUUGAUGUAUUUUAAUUUUUUUAGUGACUUCAGUACUGGUGAAAAGUAUGGGAUUGACAGCUCUUGAGCACUGAGUUCUCUUAUUGACCUGUGCUAAAAAAAUAUCCUUGGCACUGGAAUUACAAAUUCCCUCACAGGGUCUUCCUAAUCAUUUGCUUCAACCUUAACAUGAUGUGCUUUCACUACCUCUAGGGGGCAGAGGAGUUCAAUCUUUAUGCCCCUUCAAUUCCUGUCCUCUGCUGAAACUGUCAAUUAGUGCUAAUUGUAAUGAGGACAAGCAAUCACUGAAUACUGCUCUAAGACCACCAAACUCAUCUCUCAUUAGGUACCCAAGAUUAUAUAACUACUCUCAGUAGCUACCAGUCUGGGAUAGAUUUGAACUGGGAACCCAUAGGUGAAAGGUUCUGUAUCCCAAUGCACAGAACCAAAUAUCUUUUUAAAGCAAAAAUCUACUCCUUAUUGCCUUUUUAUAUUAAUUAUAACAGAAUUUUUAAGUGCAAUCCCAACAUCCCCUCCCCAAUUAGAAUGUCAAUAUACAAAAUUUCUCUAUCUUCUGCCAUUGUUUUCAUUUCACAUUAUCUACCUAAAAAAAAAAUAUGCUGAUUUUUCUUUCCAAGAAAAACAAAAUAAUUCAGGUGGAUUGCUGUGUAGUAAUAUCUGCUUAACUGAUUGACUUUUAAAAUGAGAGGCAACAUAGUCCAAUGACCAGGACACCUAGGUUCUGUGUCUUCCAUUUACAUGCUGUGAGAGGCCCACUGUCUCUCUGCCUUUAUUUCUUCUUACACCCUUUGUCUGUCUUGUCAGGUUAGCCUGUAAGCUCUUUGGGGGAGGGACUAUCUCUUAGGAUGUGUGUGUACAUAAGAGAAUGGGGGCCUGAUCUCUGUUGGAAUUUCUAGAAACUACUGAAAUACAAAUAAAUAAUUAUGAGUAGCAUAAGUGCAGACACAAAAACAGUUGCAGCAGGUACAGCAGCUGCCUGGUGGGGAGGAUGGGGAGAUGAGACCCAUCUGGAGCUACUUCUCCAGUUCCAGCUCAACCUGGACCUAAAGCAAAAGGAGUUGCAACUAGGAGCUUUGGAACAUGCAGACGCUGAUGAUGUCAUCACACUCUCUCUUCUCAGUUUUUACUCUGGACAGUCUCUCCCCUGUGCUGAUUGGCUGUGUGCUCCAACUUCCCCUGCCUCCUUCCUCAGUGUUCUUUCUAUUUGCUUUGCUCCAUCUCCCCUCCACUACCUCUGAUGUCUCCUCUUCCUUCCUUUGGGUUUUUGUUUAGCUAAUUCCUCCUAGUAAAACCCCACCCAGAAACCACCAACCAGCCAACACUUUGGAACUAACAUGUUAUUUGAAAACCAUCACAUUUCUUCUUCUGCCUGUAUGUUAUAUUCUUUUUGUCUUGUCUAUUUAAGAUUGUAAGCUCUUCAAGGCAGAGACUGUCUCAUACUCUGUAUGUACAUGCCCUACUUCAAUGGGAUCUCUAGCCACUAUAGUAAUACAAAUAACAAUAUGUAAGCAGAGUCAGGAUGAGCUCUACCUUGACAUUUGGUGGCGAGUCAUGGUGGGUUGUGGAAAAGAACUUCAGGGGCUUAUCUCAUUUGCAUAGGCACACCCACCCUGCCUAGAUGGUCACUUUGGCUGCUGUAGGAGCCCCAGUUUCUCUGUUAUUGGGGCAGGAAUAAAUUGUUGUUAUCCUGAUUAUGUGAAUCAAGGACAGUGGAACUGUACUUGGCCUUUUGUUAUGAUGGAGGGACUCGCCAUCAACUAAGUAGCACUCGCUAGGCAUGGGUCAUGGGUUCCAAAACCCAGUGAAGGGAGAGAGGCUGGGAACAGGUAUUAAUACUUGGUGGUAUGGGCCCCUUGGUGAGGGCCUUACAUGUUAAUUACACUUCCUCCUCUCUCCACUGUGGAAUGUCAGAGCUAAUUUUGAUUCCAUUAGGAGUCUAGUUACAGGCUACUGAGCUGAAUUCACUUUGGGCUAAUGGUGCAGCAGCACUGAGGCUCCCCUACUACAAGCUGAAAUCACAAAAGAGCUAAACUUACUAAGAGCUGAAAAGAGCUGAAUUGUGUUAAGUAGUGGGAGAGCCUGAAGAUAUAUUGUGGAGCAGAGCAGUUUGUGGGACGGCUGGCAGAGCGGAGCCCCAUGGAGAGGUGGGACAAUCAGCUUUGGACCACGUAAGGUGCCCCUUAGCCCCUCUCCCCCAUCUCCACCCAGGUUGGGAGGUAAAACUCUGCAGAUAAACUUUUGAACUCUGGGGCCGCCCUGACCAGGGACAGAGAUUUUUGGGUUGUGGGACUUUGGGUAAUUUUGGGUUGAUGGACUCAAGAACCAAAGGGAAAGGACAAGCCCCAGUUUGCUUGGGGUGGGUUUUUUGCUCAUGGGUUGUGUUAUGAAUCCUGUUGGUGGUGUUUCCCCAACAUAAUGCCAUAUUGUUUCUCUCUGUUAUUAAAAGGCUUUUUGCUACACUCAGACUCUGUGCUUGCCAGAGGGGAAGUAUUGCCUCUUGGAGGUGCCCAGCGGGGGUGGUAUAUAUUUGUCCCAGGUCACUGGGUGGAGGCUCGAGCCAGUUUUGCAUUGUGUUAUUGGAAUGGAACCCCUAGAUACUGAACCCAGCCCUUGUUGCUGCCAACUCUGAUGGGCAGAAGGGUUACAAAUAUAAUUGGAAUAUUUUGAAAAAAGAAAUAAGGUCCUGAGUUUUCAAAGACUUAUGUACAUGUUUCACUUUAAGCAUCUGAGUCAUUCUAUUGACUUCAAUUGGACUACUUGUUCUUAUCUUUAAGAAUAUGCAUAAGUAUUUUGGGGCCUAAAAUUAUAUGUGCUCACCAAAGAAAAACUAUUCGAUAUUUUCAAUAAUAAGUUUUAAAGGUUUAUUCUAGAAAUAAAA